rnacentral:misc_RNA from 1 species
AAGUCGUAACAAGGUAACCGUAGGUGAACCUGCGGUUGGAUCAUUACUAAAUACUUUGACCUGAGGUUGAGCUCAAUUCAUUGAGAUCCCUCAGUGUCAUAAACAUUUUGUGCAUCUAUUGUGUAUUUGGGUUAUCUCUAUCUUUUUCUUUUUGUUAACACAAAAGAGUUGAAGUGAAAAGAUAACCCAACAAUGAAAAUAAACCAUUAUUCUUUUUUUUGACUGAAAUAAAUUGAAAAAUUUAUAAACAACUUUUGACAACGGAUCUCUUGGCUCUC